CAGAGUUGCAAGACUCCCUAAAACCAUUGUGAACCUACCUUCUACCGUUGCUUCGGCGGGCGGGCCCAGCGCCCCCCCGGCCCCCCGCGGGCGCCCGCCGGAGGAUACCCAAACUCUUGACAUUAGUGGCCUCUCUGAGUAUUCUUUACUGAAUAAGUCA
rnacentral:misc_RNA from 1 species